UACGAAGGUGACCAGCGUUGUCCGGAUUUACUGGGCGUAAAGAGCGCGCAGGCGGUCGUUCAAGUCGAGUGUGAAAGCCCCCGGCUCAACUGGGGAGGGUCACUCGAUACUGAUCGACUUGAAGGCAGGAGAGGGAAGCGGAAUUCCCGGUGUAGUGGUGAAAUGCGUAGAUAUCGGGAGGAACACCGGUGGCGAAGGCGGCUUCCUGGCCUGUUCUUGACGCUGAGGCGCGAAAGCUAGGGGAGCAAACGGG
rnacentral:rRNA from 1 species